rnacentral:tRNA from 1 species
GCCCGGAUGGCGGAAUUGGUAGACGCGCUGGUCUCAAAAACCAGUAGGGUUAUUCCUGUGCCGGUUCGAUUCCGGCUCCGGGUACAA